CUCAACCACACUCAUCCAACAUUUGAACCACAAUGUCAGCAAUUGCAGAAUGUGGGUGGCAGUGGGGUGAAAAUUGGCACUGUGUGUAGAGUUUGAUCAGUGGACUGCCCAUGUUUACCUCAAACAAUAAAAAGAGGCAAUGAUAUGCAUUGGCUAGUGCAUGUGCAAUAUAAGAUGGCAAUCCACAACCUUUUAUAAAGCAAACAUGCCUUGAAGCAUGUUCAAAUGGCUUUGUUUUGUUUGUAAAAUAGAACAAAUUAGUAAUGAAAUAACUAUUUUGAGUCAUCCAAUGUGUGUGGAAUUUGUACACCACAAAUUCCAUAUUUGAAAUUUGAACUGACGUAGACAUUUCAGCAUGGAACCAUGCGUGAUGAGACCAGAAUUAAAGAUUUCAUCAAGUAUUUACCCACUACAAACAGAACCUACUCAAUUGUUGUGCUUCAACCAGAACUUUUACGUUAUCAAAUUCUGACUGGUUCCAGCUCACCAUGCAAAAG
rnacentral:misc_RNA from 1 species